rnacentral:rRNA from 1 species
GUCCACGCCGUAAACGCUGUCUACUUGGAGGUUGAGGUUUAGACUUUGGCUUUCGGCGCUAACGCAUUAAGUAGACCGCCUGGGGAGUACGGCCGCAAGGUUAAAACUCAAAUGAAUUGACGGGGGCCCGCACAAGCGGUGGAGCAUGUGGUUUAAUUCGAUGCAACGCGAAGAACCUUACCUACUCUUGACAUCCAGAGAACUUUCCAGAGAUGGAUUGGUGCCUUCGGGAGCUCUGAGACAGGUGCUGCAUGGCUGUCGUCAGCUCGUGUUGUGAAAUGUUGGGUUAAGUCCCGCAACGAGCGCAACCCUUAUCCUUGUUUGCCAGCACRUAAWGGUGGGAACUCCAGGGAGACUGCCGGUGAUAAACCGGAGGAAGGUGGGGACGACGUCAAGUCAUCAUGGCCCUUACGAGUAGGGCUACACACGUGCUACAAUGGCAGAUACAGAGGGCAGCGAAGCUGCGAAGUGGAGCGAAUCCCUUAAAGUUUGUCGUAGUCCGGAUUGGAGUCUGCAACUCGACUCCAUGAAGUC